AGAAGCUUCGACUAAGGUUCGAUUCGAGCGAAAGCGAGAGAACGUUGCCAACGGCAACGGCCCGAAGGGCGAAGCGCGCAGCGCUGAGUCAUCCUUCCCCCACCACCA
rnacentral:sRNA from 1 species